rnacentral:pre_miRNA from 1 species
AGCUUUCUGAAUCUGCACUGAGAUUUCGACAGACACCAGGCUACGAGGACUGAUGAUACUCCCAAGAUAAGUGAGAUG